CUUGCGAGGUGUCAGAUCUGACUCAGUCCCAGGGUCUUGGCGCGGCUGAACGCCUCUAGGGUGACAGAGGCCCUUUUCUUUUCACGUCGCGCCACACCACAAGAUAGCCAGUGCCUCCCUACGGCGGCUGCCUGGCUCUGCUACACAAGGUGACUGCGUUCCCAGAUUCCUGGAUGGAAGAACAGGUUUUUACCACAUCUUUCCCACUGGAAAUCCUGGUUUCUCUGAAGAUCUGUGGAGCAAGGACCUUUGUGUUGUGCUCCCAACACCUGUGGAGGCCUUCCUGGUUCUCAGAGAGGUUUUCAGAAGCAAAGAGAAAAUAAGGCUCUUCUUAAAAUGAAGUUUAUGCUCAAGAUGAACCUGAAUUCUACUUGGGUGAGAUGUGCAUAUGUCUAAAGCAAAGAAGAAGGAGGAGGAGGAGGGGAAGAAGAAAAGAAAAGAUGAAAGACGAAGAAAGAAGAGGAAGGAAGCAAAUGGAAUAGGUGUCAGGUUUCUUGGGCAAUUCAGUAGAAAAGAGAGAGGCUCAAGAGGAAGGCACUGGAUUUCUUCCUAGUAUUAAUAUUCUGUAUUACCUUUACCUGGUUUCAACUGAAAGAACCUCGGAGGGAGGUGUCUAUCGAGGAGUCCUCCACCCAAGAACCAGAACCAAUCCAAUCCACUGGAUGCAAAAGCACGAGGCAGUUUAUUGGCUACACAGGCACCUGCGGAUGCCACAGCAACCAAGUUACUGAGCAUGCCGGUCUGAGGGCACAUCAUGUAUUUAUAGGUAUUUAGGAGUUACAUAAAAGUCUGCAUAGCAACAAGCGUUUCAUUGAUUCUCAAAUUGGCGGGCUUAGCUCACCCUGGGAAUGGCCCCAUGUCUAUUCUUGAAUUUCCCCGAAAAACCAUAAAGACAGAUAAAACACCCUGCAGCAAGUUGACAGUUUAGAUAGAAUGCCUUGGGAGGUGGAGUAUUCCCUCUCCUUAGCCUAGUCAGUGAGUCUGCAACCCACAGAUAUCCAGUUUUAGCACCAGCUGGGGGGGGGGUGAAGCUAAAUUUCAGCAGAGUUUAACAUAGUACGUGGGCACGGGGGUCUUUCAAGUAUGGGGGGGUCUUUCACAACUAACAAGGAUCAUUGUAGUGAGAGGCUGCUCAUUUGUUCCCAGCCGCUCAGACCCGAAAUAAUCACACAGGAACUAUAUUAUUUAAAACACUGCUUGCCCAAUAGCUUAGGUGUAUUGUUAGCUAGCUCUUAUAUCUUAAAUUAACCCAUUUCUAUUUUAUAUUUUAUCACCAGUGUCAUGGUUUACCAGUAAAGUUCUUGGGGCACGUCUGUCUCCUUCAGAGGGUACAUGGCGUCUCACUGACUCUACCUACUUUCUCCCAACAUUCAAUUUAGUUUUCCCGCCUAACUCUAUUCAGCCCUAUCAAAGGCCAAAGCAGCUUCUUUAUUCAUUAACCAAUAAAAGCAACACAUACAGAAGGCUUCCCACAUCAGAUCAUAGCCCAGGAAAUUGUUUAUACAGGAAAAAGGCUUGAGUCCCUAAAACUAGCUUCAGAGAGAAGGAUUCUCACCUGGGCACCCUGCUGGAGUCAAAAAGCAAACUCCCCAGAAGAGAUUCCUUUUAACCCAACCAGCUAGAUGCUAAUGCAAAUCAAGCCCACAGGUUAGUAUAGCUACCAAUGCUGUGUUCCCAGCCACAGGGGAACUUUACAGCCACGACCCCUCUGAGACAGAAGGCAUCUCCUUGCCAGAUCCACAGGUUUCUUGUGACUCUGAAAAUGCAUGUUUGAUACUAUUGUUACCACCUGUGGGAUUGUUAACUUGUCUGUAUGGUUAUAUAAACUGAAAGCUUUGUGGAGAUCACCUCUUUUUUUCUUACCUUUGCCCUUAUGCCCCUAUGCUGCUGCUUCUUUUCCUCCUUUCUUUAAUCUUCCCCCAAAGAAUAAAGAAACAUACAGGUAAAACAUGCCUGAGUCAGUCAGUUUGUUUUACCCCUCAGAUCCUGUUCCCAAGCCAGUCUUCGUUUUUCGUAGAAGUUCAGAGAGUGCUAAGGCUGGUACUCAGUAGCUCUCGAUAUAAUAUCAAACCAGUUACUCUUGAAAACAAUUAGGACUUAAAUCCAGGAGAGACUCUCUGGGAAAUGGUGUGGGAACCAGAAAGGAGAGGGAGCUGGAGUUUGGAGGGAGGGGGUGUACAUGUGUGAUUAGUUCAAGGAUAUGACGUCAGACACAAAAUCUUUGGAUUCACAAAUCUCCCAUAUAAAAUAACAUGGUAGCACAUGACCAGCGCUCAGAAGACUAAACCAGGGUGGUCACUGAGCUCAGGAGUUCAAGGCCAGCCUGGGCAAAAAAGCAAAAUGCCAAUGCAAAAGAAUAUAAAAUAAACAAAUGUCUAAAAAUAAUGAUUUAAAAUCUGCAUAAGCUCGAUACACAUGCCAUUUUUGUUCUGAAUCAUUCUGAUUCAGGUUGAAUCUGCAGGUGCUGUGGGCUAUAUUUAUAUGUCAACUCCAGUUAGUCAUUGUUGAAGCCACUAGAGACUAGGAUGUUGAUCGCUGUGGGGCCUAACUCAGAGAGAUUCAGAUUCUGUGAUGAUUUUUUUACUUUUAAUUCUUUUAUAAAAUUAUUGGGCCCUAAGGGUUGCAGAUAUAGCUCAGUUGGUAUAGCAUUUACCUAACAUACAACCCCAAGUUCAGUAUCCAACACAAGGAAGCUGGGUGUGGUGGUGUCCUGAGUGACUCGCCUCCAAGCCAAGCAACCACAAUCUUGAAAACAAUUAUCCCAACUGGGCUUGUGUUUACAUCCUCUGUGGAGGGGUGGGUAAGGUCAUGAGAACCUCCCUUGAGCAUACCCGCCUGUUAUAUGCAACUAUGCCCUAAUUGCAUGUGGCCUCUGGGAAGGACAAGAGUAUAUAGGCCUGGGAAGACUAAGGGAGGAGGCUCUCUAUAUGUAGUUACAGGAUGACCCUGACCCUCAUCUGUUCUAAAGAUUUUCAGGUGCAGCCUACUGGAGGAGGAAUACAUCCCUUGUAACUAACCCCCAACCUUACUCUGUAAGGAAGUCCAAUAAAUUUAAUGUUUCCCAGAGCGAAUUUGGUGGGAUCAUGCCUCCAUUUGUUGUUGGGACCUUAGGAAAAGGUAUAAAUGUUGAUUACCUCUCCUGGGAAAGAAUUUAACAACAUGGUGAAUGCCUCUUAUCCCAGGAUUCCAGAGGUAGACGUAGGGUCAGAAGUUCAAGGUCAUCUUCCACUACAUGUUAGGUUGGAAGCUAGCCUGGGCUACAUGAAACCCUGUCUCAAAAUUUAAAAAAUAAUGAGGCUGGAGAGAUAGAUGCUCAGUGGUCAAGAGUAGAUGCUCUUGUAGAGGUCCCAGGUCUGUUUCCCAACACCCACAUGGAGCUCACAACCAUCUGGAGCUGGAGUUACAGGGGAUCUAAUGCCAUUUUUCUGGCCUCCAUGGGCACAAGGCUUACAAACGGUGCAUAGACAUAAAUGCAGAUAAAACACCAAAACACAUACACAAACAGACAAAUUGACUCUUGUACUAUUUAUUGCCUGAUCUAGCCCUGAAACCCUAAGCUCAUUUGCCUUCCUGCCUCAGCGCUUGAGUGGCGGGAACUACAGGAAUGUGGCACCCUGCCCUGCUUCUGGUUAAUCAAUCUUGUAUUGGUUUAUUGUUUAUUUCAAUCUCCUCUGUGUGUUGUACACUCUUAUUACUGACUCAUUUUCCUAUUGGGUUAUGUUUUCUUGUUGAUUUUAGUAUA